rnacentral:rRNA from 1 species
UUAAGCGACUAAGCGUACACGGUGGAUGCCCUGGCAGUCAGAGGCGAUGAAGGACGUGCUAAUCUGCGAAAAGCGUCGGUAAGGUGAUAUGAACCGUUAUAGCCGGCGAUGUCCGAAUGGGGAAACCCAGUGUGAUUCGUCACACUAUCGUUAACUGAAUACAUAGGUUAACGAGGCGAACCGGGGGAACUGAAACAUCUAAGUACCCGAGGAAAAGAAAUCAACCGAGAUUCCCCCAGUAGCGGCGAGCGAACGGGGAGCAGCCCAGAGUCUGAAUCAGCUUGUGUGUUAGUGGAACGGUCUGGAAAGUCCGACGGUACAGGGUGAUAGUCCCGUACACCAAAAUGCACAGGUUGUGAACUCGAAGAGUAGGGCGGGACACGUGGUAUCCUGUCUGAAUAUGGGGGGACCAUCCUCCAAGGCUAAAUACUCCUGACUGACCGAUAGUGAACCAGUACCGUGAGGGAAAGGCGAAAAGAACCCCGGCGAGGGGAGUGAAAAAGAACCUGAAACCGUGUACGUACAAGCAGUGGGAGCACCUUCGGGUGUGACUGCGUACCUUUUGUAUAAUGGGUCAGCGACUUAUAUUCUGUAGCAAGGUUAACCGUAUAGGGGAGCCGCAGGGAAACCGAGUCUUAACUGGGCGUUAAGUUGCAGGGUAUAGACCCGAAACCCGGUGAUCUAGCCAUGGGCAGGUUGAAGGUUGGGUAACACUAACUGGAGGACCGAACCGACUAAUGUUGAAAAUUAGCGGAUGACUUGUGGCUGGGGGUGAAAGGCCAAUCAAAACCGGGAGAUAGCUGGUUCUCCCCGAAAGCUAUUUAGGUAGCGCCUCGUGAAUUCAUCUUCGGGGGUAGAGCACUGUUUCGGCUAGGGGGUCAUCCCGACUUACCAACCCGAUGCAAACUACGAAUACCGAAGAAUGUUAUCACGGGAGACACACGGCGGGUGCUAACGUCCGUCGUGAAGAGGGAAACAACCCAGACCGCCAGCUAAGGUCCCAAAGUCAUGGUUAAGUGGGAAACGAUGUGGGAAGGCACAGACAGCCAGGAUGUUGGCUUAGAAGCAGCCAUCAUUUAAAGAAAGCGUAAUAGCUCACUGGUCGAGUCGGCCUGCGCGGAAGAUGUAACGGGGCUAAACCAUGCACCGAAGCUGCGGCAGCGACACUAUGUGUUGUUGGGUAGGGGAGCGUUCUGUAAGCCUGCGAAGGUGUGCUGUGAGGCAUGCUGGAGGUAUCAGAAGUGCGAAUGCUGACAUAAGUAACGAUAAAGCGGGUGAAAAGCCCGCUCGCCGGAAGACCAAGGGUUCCUGUCCAACGUUAAUCGGGGCAGGGUGAGUCGACCCCUAAGGCGAGGCCGAAAGGCGUAGUCGAUGGGAAACAGGUUAAUAUUCCUGUACUUGGUGUUACUGCGAAGGGGGGACGGAGAAGGCUAUGUUAGCCGGGCGACGGUUGUCCCGGUUUAAGCAUGUAGGCUGGUUGUCCAGGCAAAUCCGGAUAAUCAAGGCUGAGGUGUGAUGACGAGGCACUACGGUGCUGAAGUAACAAAUGCCCUGCUUCCAGGAAAAGCCUCUAAGCAUCAGGUAACAUCAAAUCGUACCCCAAACCGACACAGGUGGUCAGGUAGAGAAUACCAAGGCGCUUGAGAGAACUCGGGUGAAGGAACUAGGCAAAAUGGUGCCGUAACUUCGGGAGAAGGCACGCUGGUGUGUAGGUGAAGUCCCUGCGGAUGGAGCUGAGACCAGUCGAAGAUACCAGCUGGCUGCAACUGUUUAUUAAAAACACAGCACUGGUGCAAACACGAAAGUGGACGUAUACGGUGUGACGCCUGCCCGGUGCCGGAAGGUUAAUUGAUGGGGUUAUCCGUAAGGAGAAGCUCUUGAUCGAAGCCCGGUAAACGGCGGCCGUAACUAUAACGGUCCUAAGGUAGCGAAAUUCCUUGUCGGGUAAGUUCCGACCUGCACGAAUGGCGUAAUGAUGGCCAGGCUGUCUCCACCCGAGACUCAGUGAAAUUGAACUCGCUGUGAAGAUGCAGUGUACCCGCGGCAAGACGGAAAGACCCCGUGAACCUUUACUAUAGCUUGACACUGAACAUUGAGCCUUGAUGUGUAGGAUAGGUGGGAGGCUUUGAAGCGUGGACGCCAGUCUGCGUGGAGCCAACCUUGAAAUACCACCCUUUAAUGUUUGAUGUUCUAACGUUGGCCCCUUACCGGGGUUGCGGACAGUGUCUGGUGGGUAGUUUGACUGGGGCGGUCUCCUCCCAAAGCGUAACGGAGGAGCACGAAGGUUAGCUAAUCCUGGUCGGACAUCAGGAGGUUAGUGCAAUGGCAUAAGCUAGCUUGACUGCGAGCGUGACGGCGCGAGCAGGUGCGAAAGCAGGUCAUAGUGAUCCGGUGGUUCUGAAUGGAAGGGCCAUCGCUCAACGGAUAAAAGGUACUCCGGGGAUAACAGGCUGAUACCGCCCAAGAGUUCAUAUCGACGGCGGUGUUUGGCACCUCGAUGUCGGCUCAUCACAUCCUGGGGCUGAAGUAGGUCCCAAGGGUAUGGCUGUUCGCCAUUUAAAGUGGUACGCGAGCUGGGUUUAGAACGUCGUGAGACAGUUCGGUCCCUAUCUGCCGUGGGCGCUGGAGAAUUGAGGGGGGCUGCUCCUAGUACGAGAGGACCGGAGUGGACGCAUCACUGGUGUUCGGGUUGUCAUGCCAAUGGCACUGCCCGGUAGCUAAAUGCGGAAGAGAUAAGUGCUGAAAGCAUCUAAGCACGAAACUUGCCCCGAGAUGAGUUCUCCCUGAGACUUUAAGUCUCCUGAAGGAACGUUAAAGACGAUGACGUUGAUAGGCCGGGUGUGUAAGCGCAGCGAUGCGUUGAGCUAACCGGUACUAAUGAACCGUGAGGCUUAACCUU